UAGGGAAUCUUCGGCAAUGGACGAAAGCCUGACCGAGCAACGCCGCGUGAGUGAAGAAGGUUUUCGGAUCGUAAAACUCUGUUGUUAGAGAAGAACAAGGACGUUAGUAACUGAACGUCCCCUGACGGUAUCUAACCAGAAAGCCACGGCUAACUACGUGCCAGCAGCCGCGGUAAUACGUAGGUGGCAAGCGUUGUCCGGAUUUAUUGGGCGUAAAGCGAGCGCAGGCGGUUUCUUAAGUCUGAUGUGAAAGCCCCCGGCUCAACCGGGGAGGGUCAUUGGAAACUGGGGGACUUGAGUGCAGAAGAGGAGAGUGGAAUUCCAUGUGUAGCGGUGAAAUGCGUAGAUAUAUGGAGGAACACCAGUGGCGAAGGCGCCUCUCUGGUCUGUAACUGACGCUGAGGCUCGAAAGCGCGGGGAGCAAACAGG
rnacentral:rRNA from 1 species